CCGGAGUCAGGUAGUCAGCUCGCGUCCUCCUGGUACCCCAAUGCCGGCGACUCCUGAUCUGUUCCGCAAGCCUAGGAGCCCAGAAGGCAGUAGGGGUCCAGGAGCGGUGCCGCUGCUGCACAGCUGAGACCUGUAGGCACGUAGCCUUUCCCGAGGGCUACCACAAAAUUAACCGGGACACUCCAUCGCCUCAGGGCGCCUCGGAAACCAGGAGAUCAUGAGCUGCAGGUUGAUUGAUGGCAUCACAUCGAAGAACACUCUGGGGGGAGCUGUUUAUCCCCAUCUUCCAUCUGGAGCUGCUGGGAUAGAGUUCACUGUGAUGAUGGCUACUGAAUGAGCUGCACUGGCAGGACCUCUGUGACAAGGAAGGAUUGCGGCUAGGGAGCCAGGCCCGAAUCAAAGGAUGUCAAGGAAAUGAAUGGAGCUAAGCAGGAAACAGCCAACUCUUCUCAAACAUGAUGGGGCAGCAAUUCAAAAAGAAAGAUGGUGCACAGCUUUUAAAACUACAAAAUGGGAGAAUAUUAUGUUCCUUUGUUCUUUCACUUACAGAGGUUACUUUAUAGAUAUGUGUUUCAGAUCAAAUAAACAUGCUGCUAACAACUGAAA
ensembl:lncRNA novel transcript, sense overlapping FRK